UUUACUGAGAUUUUGAGGAGCUGCGGCCGAGAAUCUGCAGAGAUUUUUGGACCUUCACCCCUCUUACUGGGAUAGAUUUUUGCCCUUCUUACCAAGGGAGAUUGAAUUAUUAUUAGAGAAGAUGUAGACCGCGAAAGCGGAAUCACCCAUUGAGGGAAACUUUUACUUUAUACUUAUUUCUUAUAUUCUGCUUUUCAACCCUCACUGAAAGGGAAGCCCGAAAAGGGAAUUUUAUUAUUUCUUCUUUCUUUUUCUUUUUUCUGUAUUUUACCAAUAAAAGAAAACUUGAAUAAAAGGGUUAUAGUUAACUUCGGUUAACUUCCCAACCAAACCUAUUUUUUUUAUAUUUCCCCACAUCCACUGAGGAGAGGAGAGGACAACACAACGAGCAGGUGAGCCCCAGAUUCCCCAAUACCCGAAGAGACAUAAGAAUUCUCUAGGUUAUUACUUCGAUACCAGGUAGUGAUCCUGUUAGGACGAUAGUACGGUAGCUUCAUACUCCUAGACCCAAAGGUUGGCUUAUCUACCUGAAUAACUCCUCAGGCCUAUCUCCGCAUGAGCGGACGAUAAUAAUCAGGAAUUCUAAAGGGGUAAAAUUGCUUAUUCUUGAGCCACAAGAAUGGAGGUGGAAAGGUUCGCCCAUCACUUCGCGACUGGAGUCUCACAGGUUGUUAAAGAUCCAAGAGAGGAAACAACAGGACGUGAGCCUGAAAGGUCCAUACAGCCUCUAUCUGCCUGCUGUGCUGUCCCCUUUGUUCCUCCAAAUGGAUCCCAGGGAUGAGUGAUUUCCUUGGCCUCAAAUAUUGGCCAGCAACCCCAAGCGUCCAGUUGCUGUUCAAAUUUGAUGUGUUCACAUCAUUUCAGCAGAUGAAGUUAGACAGCCCAGCUUUAUCACAGCAAGCGUUUAUCAGAAUGCUUGAACAUGGAGCCCUUAGUACAGGACGGAAAGGCAGCAUCUGCAGUGACACAUUCCACAAAGUCUUUCGAGAAUGUAUCUUCUGCAAUUACAAAAGAAGAAGAUCUGCGCCUAGUGGAGCCAUUCAAGUGUCCAGCUUGUACUCCAGAUAUGCUGGCUAUAUCUGUGGAUGGCAAUAGAAAACAUUAUCGUUUCAGAAAGUCCAAAGGGUCAGUCCAAUAGUUUUUUUUAUUUUUAAUAAUUGAUAUAUUAGCUAUACUGAACCUUACCAUGAACAAACAAAUGUAAUUGUUCUGGGAAUCUCAAAAAUGUGUCGUCAAUUUAAAAAUGUUGAAUGGAGAUGAUCCAAAACAGUUUGUAGUUACAUAUGAUUAGCAGUAACUGCAGUUAGGAUUCAUGAGUUAUGAGUUAACAUAAUAUUUUAAAUGAAUGACUGCAACAUUUUCAUACUGUUAGUACCUUAAGUAAUUUUUAUAUUUUUAAUACGAUUGGCCUCUUUAGGAACAGCUUGUUCCAUGGCCAGUAAUUUAAAGAUAUUGUAUAUAUUUGAACUUUUAUGCUUUAUAACAGUAUAACUUAAGACACAUGUUGGAGAGAUACUACAAAGUUUUGAGUGAUGGUUAGUUUGAUUAUGUUGUCAAAAAAAUUCUUUUAUCAGGACAGAUGAACCAUCACUUUUCGAUGGACUGUUCAUCGCACAGGAUGCAGAAGUAUCUGCCUUUGUUGAUCAGAUAAGAAGUCAGAUGAAAACUGUAAGGAUCUAUGCAAAAAGGCCAUUACCAAAAAAUGGUGUACCCCCGACCCACCUACAAGAAAAGACUGGAUGCAAAUUGUGCACAGAACUUUUGAGAUGGAGUUUUUGAAGCACAGAUUACGGACCCAGGAAGAACAAUGUCAAGACAAAUAGGAAAAAUGGACAGUUUUCACAACAGCGGCAAAAGACUGAACAACACAAAAUUUUAACAAUUGUAUCACUAUACCAGACUGUCCCAAGAGAUUUUUUGUUGUAUAACAUUGAAAAAGAUUUAAAAAUUAAGUAAUAAAAAAAGAAAAUUGUAAGGAUAUUUGUGUCAGGGAUGUAUGUAACACAUUAUAUCUUCUUUCAGAGGACCGGUCAUGAUGUCUACGGGCCGGCAACAUUUACUGCAGGACGAGAAAUGUCACAGAAGUCGGAUGAGGAGGGCCUGGAAAUAGCUGUGUGCAGACAUGGCGUCCUGCUGCAAGGCUUGAACCACUACUGUGGUGAAAUUUAUGCCUAGCCACUCAUCCUACAGAAGGAGCUGGCUGACAUUACAAAUGCAAAAUUCUUUUGUAUGGACAUCGCUUGCAAGUAUUGGCCAUAUUUGCAGAAGAUGUCUGAAAAGUUCCCUGAGCUUCAACCUCUUACAGUGAUGAAGGCUUUUCUCUCUGUAAUGCAUGCUAAGGCUCACACUGGCAAAUGUGAGGUGACGUGGGGGGAGCAGAAACCAGGAAGGUGCAGGAAAUACAAUUGGUGAGGAGGUGGAACAGGUUAAUAGUUUUCUCUCCAGGGCAGCUUUGACCACAAAGUACAUGACCAAAUCAGGUCGAACAGACAUGUUAACCGUCCUUGCCGUGGGAUGGAACCAUCGGAAGGUGGAGCUUCUCCACAAGGCACUGGCAAAGAGGUUUAUCAAGAUUACAAAGCGAGCAGAAAUUGAAGUAGCGAAUCUUGAGUCACUCAAGCAAGACCUGAACAUCUCUCUGGAGGACACACAACAGUGGGUGGAGGAUGUCAAACACUGGGCAACCACUGAGAGACAUGAUGCUAAUAGCAGCCAGGAAGACCUCCAGAGAGAGAUUGAUGAGAUCAUUUAUUCCCUCCGAAGAUAGAAGCAUGAUCUCUAUCGACAGAAUGACAGUAACCAAGCAAGGCUGCGCAAACGGAGGAAUCUGUGUAAUCUCAAGAAGAAACUAAAGGAGAGGAUCCUGCACUACAACACUGUUUGUGCAUCAGGUCAAACAAUUGACACAGAAGCAGCAUGCAGUCUCUCUGAUGAUAUCAUUCUGCUGUGGGAUGUUUUUACAACAGUCAGUUGUGGCUGCAUAUACAUCAUUUCCAUCAUGACUGGGCGAAUUUUGACAGAUGCCAUUAAUUUAUUUUCUACUUAAUUUUAUGUGUCAUUUUAUUUAUUUCAUAUUAUUUGCAAAGCUAUCUUGUUGAUGUCAGCUAAAAUAAAAUAAUAAAAACUAAAAUUUUCACCUUGUGGUUCACUGUCUCCACACCCUGUCUUUCACUAUGAGAGAAAUUAAAAGCAUAGUUCUCA